rnacentral:lncRNA from 1 species
CCCCUCCCAGGCCCCUCCUGGAGCAUCUCCGUGUCCCACAGGAGGAUCUGGUGUGGGAUCCAGCCCCAUCCCGCCCGGAGAAUGCCCGAGCUCUCCCGUCCUGGCUCUGCCCGGAGCUUCCCGCAGCAUUCCCAGCCCGGAGGCACCAGGAGGGUCCUGGAACUGUCCCGUCCCAACAACACCAGCCCCAGAAGGAUUUGAGAUCUCUCCAUUCCCAGGACCAUCCCGGCUAUGGGGUCGCCCUGCAGACCCUCCAGGCCCGGCUGGAGGAGCUGGAGAACCAGGUGAGGCUGAGGGGUCACCUGUGGGUCACUUGAGGGUGUCACCUGUGGGGUCACCUGGGAGGUGUCACCUGUGGGUGUCAUCCGAAGGUGUCACCUUUAGGGUCAGCUGGGGGGUCACCUGUGGGGGUUUGGGGAUGUCACCUGUGGAGUCACCUGGGGGGUCACCUGGAGCCCGUCCCGUUGCCGCCAGGUGCGGGCGCUGGAGCUGGAGCGGGCGCGGUGGCGGGGACAGGCCCUGCAGGAGCUCCCGGAGAGCUGCCCCAGGUAACGAACGGGGGCUCACCUGUGCUACCAGAUCCCUGCUCCUGCCCUGGGGCACCCCGGGAUGCGGGAUCACCCCAGGAUCACCCCAGGAGCACCCCAGGAUCACCCUAGGAACACCCCAGAUCCCUGAAUCACCCCAGGAACACCCCAGGAACACCCCAGGAUCACCCCAGGAACACCCCAGAUCCCUGAAUCACCACAGGAUCACCCCAGGAACACCCCAGACCCCAGGAUCACCCCUGAUCCCAUGAUCACCCCAGAAUCACCCUGGAUCUCCCCAGGGCACAGGAUCACCCCAGACCCCUGGAUCACCCCAGACCCCUGGAUCACCCCAGGGCACAGGAUCACCUGCAAGCCCAGGAUCACCCCAGAUUCCUGGAACACCCCAAAUCCCUGGAUCACCCCAGGAUCACCCCGGAUCCCUGAAUCAUCCCUGGGACAAUCCCAGAAUUCUGGAUAAUCCCAGAAUCACCCUGGGUAACCCCAGACACCAGGAUCGCUCCAAACCCCAGAAACACCCCAGAUCCCAGGAUCACCCA